rnacentral:tRNA from 1 species
GAACUCGUGGCUCAAUGAUUAGAGCGUUUGACUUGUAACCAACAGGUUGCGGGUUCA